UUCCACCGUACAUACCCUACAAAACCCACAAUAAGUUCGGCGAGCUGAGCUGAGCUGAGCCUGAGUCUGAGCAUUUCUGAUUUAUGAUUGCCCCAAAUUGAUCGCCCAAAGAUUUCCUCAGCCCUCCCCCAGAUUUCCUCUCAGCCCUUCUAUCGCUUUGCUUACAUCAUCUCUCUCUUGCUAUUGUUCAUGCUCAGAACCCAAAAAUACUUCCAGCUGACCACACACUCUGCUGCAGAAGCAGUACUAUUUCUGCCACCUCUUACUUUCUCUCUCUCUCUACAUCCUGUAGCUAAGUAAAAUCUCUCUUUUUUAUGUGUGCUUUUUUUCCAUUCUUUCGCACCUCAUUAGCUAUUUGUCUGAAAGGGCUAAAAAAGUAUUCCAAUAUUGAAAAAUGGGUGCUGCUAAUACCUGCAAAAAAAAACAGAAGUUUGAACAGAGAUUCCAGAUAUUUUGUUUGUGAUGAUUGCAGAAAAGCAGAUGAGGAGAGGGGUGGAAGACAAAGAAGAUCAGAAAGAGAGGAGAGAGAGAGAGAGAGAGAGAGAUGGGCCCUCAAAAGCCUGCAACAGAAAUGAGUGGCACUGCACCAGGAGUUAUAUGGAGGAAAUUACAUAUUAGCUGGUUCAUUCCAUGGUCGAUGGUAGCUCUCCUGCAAACGGGUGGGAGGCCUAUAUUUCCUGAAGAAUAACAGGUGAAGAGAAUGACAAAAGACCAAUUUGAGCACAGAAGCCCUAUUCCAGAGAGGUGACAAGUGAAUUACAAUCUUCUAAUCUCUGCUAUUUAUCAGGGAGAUCCACUGGGAAUGGUUAUGAACACUGUUUAGAAAUUUAGUUUGGAGGCUGCUUUAAUGUUACAGUUUCCUGGGUGUAAUUGUAACUUCUAUUUCUGAA